UAUCCACUUGUGGGUACCUCUCAAUGAUGUCUCCAACAACCUCUUGAAAAUGAUCCAGAUCUAAUUUUCCGAUGUUGUUCUUGUCUGCCUUGCUAAAUAUAACUGCUAUAUCUUCCUAGUCAAAAACAUGGCAGGCCAAGGGUAGCCACUAAGAAUUUAUUGUUUGGACUAACAUUUCAGAACGUAAAGAAUCAAAGCGUUUUUUGGGCUAACAUUUCAGAAGGUACGACGUGCAUUAGAUUAGAUUAGGGCAUACAUACCAUAACUCUCCGUUGAUUUACAGUGGCACAAUCUCCCAGGGCAUAGAUGUCGCCAAAUCCUUCCACUCUCAACCAUUCAUCAGUGCUAAUUGCGCGCCUACUACCCUGUCAGAAUGAGAAUUGAAACCAGAUAAGCAAAGAGCUUGCCACACUGACUUUGAAGCUCAACACUUGAGAGAUUGCAAGCGGGACAUAGAAACAAACCUGACCAAUAUCUUUCAUAAAUUGAACAACUUCAGGACGAGGACCAAUACCAGUCGACCAAACCACCAUUCCAUAAGCUCUGCAGCAAACUCUACACCAGUCGGACCACCACCAACCACCACAAAAUGCAGGAGUUUCUUCUUCUCCUCUUCUGGUACGCAUGGCAGGCUUGCCUUUUCGAAUAGUUCAAUCACUUUUCGACGGAUUCUCUGAGCAUCUUCCACUUCCUUCAGAAAGAUUCAGAGUUCUCUAGCAAGUUACAUCAUUUUAUGUACAGAGAGAAAGAAUAAAAGUACGAAGUUUAUGGUGACACAUGCACACACACGCUGAUACAGAAAUUGAGAAUAUACCUUCAAGAAGCAACUGUUCAACAUAAAACUGGCAUAAACGUGCAAUGAAAUGAAAGCAAAACAAACGAAGAAAAAGGGGCACGCGGCAGAAUAUUACAGAACCAAAAAUGGUGAUGAGUAUGAAGGAGAGGACCUUCCGGAUUAUUUUGCGAAUUGGUUCAACAAUGCUUCUUGAUUCCACUGUGCCUAUAGUAACGCUUGGAAGCAAAGGCGUAAAUGCAAAAUAGUUACGAGGCGAAACCACUUCCACAUCAAACAAAGGGUUUUUCAGAUUCUUCACAAAACUGGUCCCAGCCCAUCCAGUUCCCACCACCACCACCUUCUUCUUCGGGCAUUUGUCUCCGCCACUCGCAUCAGCAUAUGCCACUAAACCUCCACCGCUGCAGCCCAGACCAGAAAACGAAUUAAAACCCAGAAACUAUAAGACAAUGGAGGAUUUGAAGCGACUUUAUAGCAUAUGAGGAUGGAUGAUGACCUGACAGUGCAGACGACAAGAACCUUGGACCAGGAAGGAGACUGAUGAAAGGCCCUUGAGGCUGUCUGGUAGAAAGAAGACCAACGCAUUGCGAAAUAUGGUUGAUUUGAUUUGCGGGCAAGAGAGUAGUAAAUUUGAGAGUGAAGGUUGCAGAAAAGGAAGAGUAACCGAAUUAGAUGGUACGUGAAACAUGGAGUUGGCAUGUGAUAAUGCGUGUUGUUUGUAAAUUGACUUGUCAAAGGAUCAACAGUAAGACACGUGGCGUUUGGUUAGGGAAGGGGAUGACCUUUGUGUACGGAGGAGUUGCACACGUUCAGGAUUGGCUCAGCCACAGGGCUUGGAAACGCUUGCCAGCGAAGCGAAUUUUGCUCUCGUAUUCUUGUUUCGUGGAAACUAUAUUAAUCGCUAUUGUCUUUUGUGUGCGCGUGUAGAAAAUUAAUUUUAAAAUCUAUUAAAGGGGUAUC